UACGGAGGGUGCGAGCGUUGUCCGGAAUCACUGGGCGUAAAGGGCGCGUAGGCGGCCUGAUAAGUAGGGGGUGAAAUCCUGCGGCUUAACCGCAGGGCUGCCUUCUAAACUGUCAGGCUCGAGCACAGUAGAGGCAGGUGGAAUUCCCGGUGUAGCGGUGGAAUGCGUAGAGAUCGGGAGGAACACCUGUGGCGAAGGCGGCCCCCUGGGCCGAACCUGACGCUGAGACGCGAAGGCGUGGGGAGCGAACGGG
rnacentral:rRNA from 1 species